rnacentral:rRNA from 1 species
UACGUAGGGGGCAAGCGUUGUCCGGAAUUAUUGGGCGUAAAGAGCGUGUAGGCGGUUCGGUAAGUCAGCUGUGAAAGCCAAGGGCUCAACCCUUGAAAGCCGGUUGAUACUGUCGGGCUAGAGUCCGGAAGAGGCGAGUGGAAUUCCCGGUGUAGCGGUGAAAUGCGCAGAUAUCGGGAGGAACACCAAUGGCGAAGGCAGCUCGCUGGGACGGUACUGACGCUGAGACGCGAAAGCGUGGGGAGCAAACAGG